UGGGGAAUAUUGCACAAUGGGCGAAAGCCUGAUGCAGCGACGCCGCGUGAGGGAUGACGGCCUUCGGGUUGUAAACCUCUCUCAGCAGGGAAGAAGCGAAAGUGACGGUACCUGCAGAAGAAGCGCCGGCUAACUACGUGCCAGCAGCCGCGGUAAUACGUAGGGCGCAAGCGUUGUCCGGAAUUAUUGGGCGUAAAGAGCUCGUAGGCGGUUAGUCGCGUCUGCUGUGAAAACUCGAGGCUCAACCUCGGGCUUGCAGUGGGUACGGGCUGACUAGAGUGCGGUAGGGGUGACUGGAAUUCCUGGUGUAGCGGUGGAAUGCGCAGAUAUCAGGAGGAACACCGAUGGCGAAGGCAGGUCACUGGGCCGCAACUGACGCUGAGGAGCGAAAGCAUGGGGAGCGAACAGGAUUAGAUACCCUGGUAGCCCAUGCCGUAAACGUUGGGCACUAGGUGUGGGGUCCAUUCCACGGAUUCCGUGCCGCAGCAAACGCAUUAAGUGCCCCGCCUGGGGAGUACGGCCGCAAGGCUAAAACUCAAAUGAAUUGACGGGGGUCAUAGCUGUUUCC
rnacentral:rRNA from 1 species